rnacentral:rRNA from 1 species
GACGAACGCUGGCGGCGUGCCUAAUACAUGCAAGUUGAGCGCUGAAGGUUGGUACUUGUACCGACUGGAUGAGCAGCGAACGGGUGAGUAACGCGUGGGGAAUCUGCCUUUGAGCGGGGACAACAUUUGGAAACGAAUGCUAAUACCGCAUAAAAACUUUAAACACAAGUUUUCAGUUUGAAAGAUGCAAUUGCAUCACUCAAAGAUGAUCCCGCGUUGUAUUAGCUAGUUGGUGAGGUAAAGGCUCACCAAGGCGAUGAUACAUAGCCGACCUGAGAGGGUGAUCGGCCACAUUGGGACUGAGACACGGCCCAAACUCCUACGGGAGGCAGCAGUAGGGAAUCUUCGGCAAUGGACGAAAGUCUGACCGAGCAACGCCGCGUGAGUGAAGAAGGUUUUCGGAUCGUAAAACUCUGUUGGUAGAGAAGAACGUUGGUGAGAGUGGAAAGCUCAUCAAGUGACGGUAACUACCCAGAAAGGGACGGCUAACUACGUG